rnacentral:lncRNA from 13 species
CUAUUAUAUAAAGAGGAUCUGUGAGUGUUACUUGGUCUUGUAAGCUAUUUUUUUUUUUUUUUUCAGCAAAAUGUUGUGAGCACCUACAGUGUGCCAGGCAGUGUUCUGAGAACUCGUUGUACGGGAGUGAAUGAGAUCACCUUAAUUUUGAGAAGUUUAUCAUCUACUCAAGGGAAACACGUGUAAUAAACUACAUUUCAGACAUAAUCCCUCAAAACCAAGUGGAACCUUUUCAAGGAGCUGGCAGAUGCAAGCCUGAGAUGCCCUGCCUGGCAAGGAGAGAGUCUAGUCACAGUCUCCCUGCAGAGGUGUUGCUGAGCUGCCUUGGGCUCCACCCAGCUGCUGUGUAAACUUCCUUGCGAUCUUGUUUACACAGGUAAGGUUAGAACUGCCUUGGC